rnacentral:rRNA from 1 species
AAAUUGAAGAGUUUGAUCAUGGCUCAGAUUGAACGCUGGCGGCAGGCCUAACACAUGCAAGUCGAGCGGUAGCACAGAGAGCUUGCUCUCGGGUGACGAGCGGCGGACGGGUGAGUAAUGUCUGGGAAACUGCCUGAUGGAGGGGGAUAACUACUGGAAACGGUAGCUAAUACCGCAUAACGUCGCAAGACCAAAGAGGGGGACCUUCGGGCCUCUUGCCAUCAGAUGUGCCCAGAUGGGAUUAGCUAGUAGGUGGGGUAACGGCUCACCUAGGCGACGAUCCCUAGCUGGUCUGAGAGGAUGACCAGCCACACUGGAACUGAGACACGGUCCAGACUCCUACGGGAGGCAGCAGUGGGGAAUAUUGCACAAUGGGCGCAAGCCUGAUGCAGCCAUGCCGCGUGUAUGAAGAAGGCCUUCGGGUUGUAAAGUACUUUCAGCGGGGAGGAAGGCGAUAAGGUUAAUAACCUUGUCGAUUGACGUUACCCGCAGAAGAAGCACCGGCUAACUCCGUGCCAGCAGCCGCGGUAAUACGGAGGGUGCAAGCGUUAAUCGGAAUUACUGGGCGUAAAGCGCACGCAGGCGGUCUGUCAAGUCGGAUGUGAAAUCCCCGGGCUCAACCUGGGAACUGCAUUCGAAACUGGCAGGCUAGAGUCUUGUAGAGGGGGGUAGAAUUCCAGGUGUAGCGGUGAAAUGCGUAGAGAUCUGGAGGAAUACCGGUGGCGAAGGCGGCCCCCUGGACAAAGACUGACGCUCAGGUGCGAAAGCGUGGGGAGCAAACAGGAUUAGAUACCCUGGUAGUCCACGCCGUAAACGAUGUCGACUUGGAGGUUGUGCCCUUGAGGCGUGGCUUCCGGAGCUAACGCGUUAAGUCGACCGCCUGGGGAGUACGGCCGCAAGGUUAAAACUCAAAUGAAUUGACGGGGGCCCGCACAAGCGGUGGAGCAUGUGGUUUAAUUCGAUGCAACGCGAAGAACCUUACCUACUCUUGACAUCCAGAGAACUUUCCAGAGAUGGAUUGGUGCCUUCGGGAACUCUGAGACAGGUGCUGCAUGGCUGUCGUCAGCUCGUGUUGUGAAAUGUUGGGUUAAGUCCCGCAACGAGCGCAACCCUUAUCCUUUGUUGCCAGCGGUCCGGCCGGGAACUCAAAGGAGACUGCCAGUGAUAAACUGGAGGAAGGUGGGGAUGACGUCAAGUCAUCAUGGCCCUUACGAGUAGGGCUACACACGUGCUACAAUGGCGCAUACAAAGAGAAGCGACCUCGCGAGAGCAAGCGGACCUCAUAAAGUGCGUCGUAGUCCGGAUUGGAGUCUGCAACUCGACUCCAUGAAGUCGGAAUCGCUAGUAAUCGUAGAUCAGAAUGCUACGGUGAAUACGUUCCCGGGCCUUGUACACACCGCCCGUCACACCAUGGGAGUGGGUUGCAAAAGAAGUAGGUAGCUUAACCUUCGGGAGGGCGCUUACCACUUUGUGAUUCAUGACUGGGGUGAAGUCGUAACAAGGUAACCGUAGGGGAACCUGCGGUUGGAUCACCUCCUUACCUUAAAGAA